rnacentral:rRNA from 1 species
UAAGGAAUAUUGGUCAAUGGACGAAAGUCUGAACCAGCCAUGCCGCGUGGAGGAUGAAGGCCCUCUGGGUUGUAAACUUCUUUUAUAUGGGACGAAAAAGGACCUUUCUAGGUCAACUGACGGUACCAUUUGAAUAAGCACCGGCUAACUCCGUGCCAGCAGCCGCGGUAAUACGGAGGGUGCAAGCGUUAUCCGGAUUCACUGGGUUUAAAGGGUGCGUAGGCGGGUUGGUAAGUCAGUGGUGAAAUCCCCGAGCUUAACUUGGGAACUGCCAUUGAUACUAUCAGUCUUGAAUACCGUGGAGGUCGACGGAAUAUGUCAUGUAGCGGUGAAAUGCUUAGAUAUGACAUAGAACACCAAUUGCGAAGGCAGUUGGCUACACGAGUAUUGACGCUGAGGCACGAAAGCGUGGGGAUCAAACAG